CUGAAUUGUCAAACGGGCUGUUGCUGGUCCUCGAAUGGGGACAUGUGCACGCUCUGUUUACACAUCCACUCACACCUGUGCACCCUCUGUAGUUUUACGGUCUGGGGGACCCUGUCUUCCUUCCGUAGUUCUACGUCUUUACACACACACUGUAAUAAAGUCUUAUGGAAUGUAUGCCGCGUCUAACGCAACACAAUA
rnacentral:misc_RNA from 1 species